rnacentral:rRNA from 1 species
GUGAGGAAUUUUCCGCAAUGGGCGAAAGCCUGACGGAGCAAUGCCGCGUGAAGGAUGAAGGCCUAUGGGUUGUAAACUUCUUUUCUCAGAAAAGAAUUAUGACGGUAUCUGAGGAAUAAGCAUCGGCUAACUCUGUGCCAGCAGCCGCGGUAAGACAGAGGAUGCAAGCGUUAUCCGGAAUGAUUGGGCGUAAAGCGUCUGUAGGUUGUUUAAAAAGUAUUCUGUCAAAGAUUAGGGCUUAACCCUAGAUAGGCAGAAUAAACUUUUAAGCUAGAGGUUGGUAGAGGCAGAGGGAAUUCCCGGUGGAGCGGUGAAAUGCGUAGAUAUCGGGAGGAACACCAAAGGCGAAGGCACUCUGCUGGGCCAAUACUAACACUGAGAGACGAAAGCGAGGGGAGCAAAAGGGAUUAGAUACCCCAGUAGUCC